rnacentral:rRNA from 1 species
CUACGUGCCAGCAGCCGCGGUAAUACGGAGGGUGCGAGCGUUAAUCGGAAUAACUGGGCGUAAAGGGCACGCAGGCGGUGACUUAAGUGAGGUGUGAAAGCCCCGGGCUUAACCUGGGAAUUGCAUUUCAUACUGGGUCGCUAGAGUACUUUAGGGAGGGGUAGAAUUCCACGUGUAGCGGUGAAAUGCGUAGAGAUGUGGAGGAAUACCGAAGGCGAAGGCAGCCCCAUGGGAAUGUACUGACGCUCAUGUGCGAAAGCGUGGGGAGCAAACAGGAUUAGAUACCCUGGUAGUCCACGCUGUAAACGAUGUCGAUUUGGGGGUUGAGCUUUAAGUUUGGCGCCCGUAGCUAACGUGAUAAAUCGACCGCCUGGGGAGUACGGCCGCAAGGUUAAAACUCAAAUGAAUUGACGGGGGCCCGCACAAGCGGUGGAGCAUGUGGUUUAAUUCGAUGCAACGCGAAGAACCUUACCUACUCUUGACAUCCAGAGAACAUUC